rnacentral:rRNA from 1 species
UACGAAGGGGGCUAGCGUUGGUCGGAAUCACUGGGCGUAAAGAGCACGUAGGCGGAUCUUUAAGUCAGGGGUGAAAUCCCGAGGCUCAACCUCGGAACUGCCUUUGAUACUGGAGGUCUCGAGUCCGGGAGAGGUGAGUGGAACUGCGAGGGUAGAGGUGAAAUUCGUAGAUAUUCGCAAGAACACCAGUGGCGAAGGCGGCUCACUGGCCCGGUACUGACGAUGAGGUGCGAAAGAGUGGGGAGCAAACAGG